UACGGAGGGUGCAAGCGUUAUCCGGAUUCACUGGGUUUAAAGGGUGCGUAGGCGGCUUGAUAAGUCAGUGGUGAAAGCUCGCAGCUUAACUGUGAAACUGCCAUUGAAACUGCCAAGCUUGAGUACGAUUGAUGUGGGCGGAAUACAUCAUGUAGCGGUGAAAUGCUUAGAUAUGAUGUAGAACACCGAUUGCGAAGGCAGCUCACAAAAUCGCAACUGACGCUGAGGCCCGAAAGCGUGGGGAGCAAACAGG
rnacentral:rRNA from 1 species